rnacentral:rRNA from 1 species
GAGUACGUGAAACCGUUUAGGGGUAAACCUGAGAAACCCGAAAGGUCGAAGGGAGAAAUUCAUUCGCGUUUCGCAACCGGCGGUUGGCUGUCGUGCGACGGAAACGUACAUUUUGUUCGUUUUCGCACCUUCAGUUAGUCGAACCGGAGGCGAACGCGUGCACUUUUCUCCUGGUAGGACGUCGCGAUCCGUCGGGUGUCGGUCUACGGCUCACGGUGGAGCCCGCUUGUCGUUUUUCGCAACGUACGAGCGGACCCGUGUGAUUCCCGGCCGACUCGCUCGACGGUAUACGAAAGGUUCGGAGCCGCUCUAGAAGCGUUCGGCUCGUGGCAAGCGCGUUAGAUGUAGUUGGCAACGGACCUAGUGCCGAUUCUAACCGUCUUCGACUGUUGGCCGCGAAGUUCUCGAACAGACUCCGUUUCUCGUCCCUCGGGACGAGAGACUGAAAACCGAUCUGCGACGCUAUAGCUUUGGGUACUUUCAGG